rnacentral:rRNA from 1 species
GUCCUUAGUUACCAGCACGUUAUAGGUGGGCACUCUAAGGAGACUGCCGGUGACAAACCGGAGGAAGGUGGGGAUGACGUCAAGUCAUCAUGGCCCUUACGGCCUGGGCUACACACGUGCUACAAUGGUCGGUACAAAGGGUUGCCAAGCCGCGAGGUGGAGCUAAUCCCAUAAAACCGAUCGUAGUCCGGAUCGCAGUCUGCAACUCGACUGCGUGAAGUCGGAAUCGCUAGUAAUCGUGAAUCAGAAUGUCACGGUGAAUACGUUCCCGGGCCUU